rnacentral:rRNA from 1 species
GACGAACGCUGGCGGCGUGCUUAACACAUGCAAGUCGAACGGAAAGGCCCUGCUUUUGUGGGGUUCUCGCGUGGCGAACGGGUGAGUAACACGUGAGUAUCCUGCCCUUUACUUUGGGAUAACUUCAGGCAACUGGUGCUACUACCGGAUAGGUGCUCCUGCUGCAUGGUGGGGUUUGGACAGUUUCGGCGGUUGGGGAUGGACUCGCGGCUUAUCAGCUUGUUGGUGGGGUAGUGGCUUACCAAGGCUUUGACGGGUAGCCGGCCUGAGAGGGUGGACAGGCACAAUGGGACUGAGGGAGGGAGCAGACGGCUACGGGAGGCAGCAGUGGGGAAUAUUGCACAGUGGGCGGGAGCGUGAUGCAGCAGCGCCGCGUGCGGGAAGACGGCCUUGGGGUGGGAAACCGCAGUCGCCUGUGACGAAGCGGGAGUGACGGUAAUGGGUAAAGAAGCACCGGCUAACUACGUG